rnacentral:tRNA from 1 species
GCGCGGUUAGCUCAGUUGGUUAGAGCGCCUCGUUGACGUCGAGGAGGUUUCAGUGGUUCGAAUCCACUACCGCGCA